rnacentral:rRNA from 1 species
CCUACGGGCGGCAGCAGUGAGGAAUAUUGGUCAAUGGCCGGAAGGCUGAACCAGCCAAGCCGCGUGAAGGACGAAGGUGCCAAGCAUUGUAAACUUCUUUUGUCAAGGGACAAAAUCAGGCUCGAGAGCCUGACCGAGGGUACUUGAAGAAAAAGCAUCGGCUAACUCCGUGCCAGCAGCCGCGGUAAUACGGAGGAUGCGAGCGUUAUCCGGAUUUAUUGGGUUUAAAGGGUGCGUAGGCGGACAGUCAAGUCAGCGGUAAAAAUGCGGUGCUCAACGCCGUACAGCCGUUGAAACUGGCAGUCUUGAGUGGGCGAGAAGUAUGCGGAAUGCGUGGUGUAGCGGUGAAAUGCAUAGAUAUCACGCAGAACUCCGAUUGCGAAGGCAGCAUACCGGCGCCCUACUGACGCUGAGGCACGAAAGCGUGGGUAUCGAACAGGAUUAGAUACCCGAGUAGUC